CCUACGUGUGGCAGCAGUGAGGAAUAUUGGUCAAUGGACGAGAGUCUGAACCAGCCAAGUAGCGUGAAGGAUGACUGCCCUAUGGGUUGUAAACUUCAUUUAUAAGGGAAUAAAACAGGGUAUGCAUACCCUCGUGUAUGUACCAGAUGAAUAAGGAUCGGCUAACUCCGUGCCAGCAGCCGCGGUCAUACGGAGGAUCCGAGCGUUAUCCGGAUUUGGUGGGUUUAAAGGGGGCGUAGGUGGCUUGUUACGUCAGUUGUGAGAGUUUGCGGCUCACCCGGAAAAUUGCUGUUGAAACUGGCAGUCUUGAGUACAGUCGCGGUGGGCGUACUUCGUGCUGUAGCGGUGACAUGCUUAGAUAUCACG
rnacentral:rRNA from 1 species